rnacentral:rRNA from 1 species
UAAUACGUAGGCAGCAAGCGUUGUUCGGAGUUACUGGGCGUAAAGGGUGUGUAGGCGGUUCUCUAAGUCUGGUGUGAAAUCUCCCGGCUCAACUGGGAGGGUGCGCCGGAAACUGGAGGGCUAGAGUGCGGGAUGGGAAAGUGGAAUUCCUGGUGUAGCGGUGAAAUGCGUAGAUAUCAGGAGGAACACCUGUGGUGUAGACGGCUUUCUGGACCGCAACUGACGCUGAGACACGAAAGCGUGGGUAGCAAACAGGAUUAGAUACCCUGGUAGUCCACGCCCUAAACGAUGCAUAUUUGGUGUGGGUCAUUCAUUUGAUCCGUGCCGGAGCUAACGCGUUAAAUAUGCCGCCUGGGGAGUACGGUCGCAAGGCUG